rnacentral:rRNA from 1 species
CACGUAGGGGACGAGCGUUGUCCGGAAUUACUGGGCGUAAAGAGCUCGUAGGUGGUUUGUCGCGUUGUUCGUGAAAACUCACAGCUCAACUGUGGGCGUGCGGGCGAUACGGGCAGACUAGAGUACUGCAGGGGAGACUGGAAUUCCUGGUGUAGCGGUGGAAUGCGCAGAUAUCAGGAGGAACACCGGUGGCGAAGGCGGGUCUCUGGGCAGUAACUGACGCUGAGGAGCGAAAGCGUGGGGAGCGAACAGG